rnacentral:rRNA from 1 species
UACGGAGGGUGCAAGCGUUAUCCGGAUUCACUGGGUUUAAAGGGUGCGUAGGCGGAUAGGUAAGUCCGUGGUGAAAUCCUGCAGCUUAACUGCAGAACUGCCGUGGAUACUAUCUAUCUUGAAUGUCGUGGAGGUUAGCGGAAUAUGUCAUGUAGCGGUGAAAUGCUUAGAUAUGACAUAGAACACCCAUUGCGAAGGCAGCUAACUACGCGAUAAUUGACGCUGACGCACGAAAGCGUGGGGAUCAAACAGG